GUGUACUUAGCUCAAUGGUUAGAGCAUCACUCAUGAAUGCUGAGUAUUUGAGUUUGAAUCUCACAUUACACA
rfam:Puccinia triticina 1-1 BBBD Race 1 supercont2.28, whole genome shotgun sequence.